ensembl:lncRNA
CUCGCCCCUGUGCUUGUGUGUCCCAGGUCUCCUUUCUCUUUUCCCCUUCCUCUUUCUCUGCCUUCACACUGUUCCCCUUUUCUAUCUUUCCCUCACCCCCAACCUUGGCCUAUCCUUGCCUCUGUCCUGGGCUUCUCUUCUUUGUCUUUCUCUAGCCUUCCUCUGCACAGCCUUCCUACUAUCUGACCUGCUGUCCUGCCCUUCUGGCAGUGGGUAUGAAAGGGGUAACAGCCCAGCGUCUGCAGGGCAGGUGGCAUCUUCUCCUUGUUUCUUCCCUGCAGGAUUCAAGCCCUUAACCUACUGGGGCAAUACUUUGGCCACCAUUUUCACCAUGCUGAGAGAGGCCUGCCAACGCCCUGAGAAGCAGGACGCCCAUGAAAGCGUUGCCUGUGCUCACCAAAGUCCUGCUGGCUCUUGUUUUUUGUCCUCUGUCUUUCCUUGGCUCAAGACACACCAACUGCAAUGCUGAGUCCUGGGACUUCUUCUGGAGGCCUGGCUGUGGCUGUGCUGUGCAAGAGCAGACAAGAGCCUGCACACUCUGGGUCUGCUCCUCACAGUUUCCUGGGCAACAGCUUCCUGCAGUCAUAACUGGAAGGCUGUGGGACUCCCUCACAAGCAACUACACUCCCUACCCUCCCUGGAAAAGGGCUGACAGCCAGAGCAGGGAGGGCCUGACUACUUCCUAAGGAUAUCUGAACCAGACUGAUCCCUGCUAACCUGCCUGGAGAGACUCAGAAGGUGGAAGGGAGCUCAUCCUGGACCUUGCCAGCCCCUAGAUGGAGCAACAGUUGAAGCAAAUCAUGGGCCAGAACCACCUUUUCCCCAACACUUGAUAGUGGAGAUAUGCAAACAUAUGGCAAAGUGAACUUGCAUUGCGCAUCUAGAGAGCCCCCUAAAUGUACCACUCAUUUUGUCACUUCCUCACAUCUAAACCUUUAGUCCAUUGCAUUUUGGUGCAUUUUAAAUAGGCUUCCGUAUACUUUUCCCUGAAACAGUUCUGCAUGGACAUCACUAUAGUUCAUUAUUUACACUUUUCUUUUGAUGUAAAGCUUACAAUGCAGUGUCUACUUGUAAAUGCACAAUUUUUUAAAUGCAUUUACUGUUCUCACAAAUGCAGACACCUCUGUAACCCAAACUCAGGACCCUAAGCAUGACUAUCAGUUCAGAAGUCUCCCUCACACUCCUUCACAGGGCAACCUUCACUAUCCUGAUAUUGAAGCUUGAUGCCACUGUGACUAACAGUGCUAAAAAGAAUGUCAAGGCCAGUUCUGAAGUUAAGCUUGCAGUAAGCAAAUUUGUGAGUCAAAAUCCACACAGGAUUUUUUUCUUUUUUUUUUUUGAGAUACUGGGGGUUUGAACUCAGGGCCUUCACCUUGAGCCAGUCUGCCAGUUCUUUUUUGCAAAGGGUUUUUCCGAGAUAGGAUCUUAUGAACCAUUUGCCUGGGCUGGAUUUGAACCCCAGUCCUCCUGAUCUCUGCCUCCUGAGUAGCUAGGAUUACAGGCGUGAGUCACCAGCACCCGACAGGAUGUUAAUUUAUGACAAAUGAUUGAAGACCAGGCACAGACCAGCCGCGGUGGGAACUACUUACUGCUUGACUUCUGAGUGGGGGUUCUCUUCUGACCUGUACUGGAGGUGGUGGGAGAGGGAGGUCCAGUCCCCUAGUUGGGGAGACCCUCCCUACUCCA